rnacentral:rRNA from 1 species
UACAGAGGGUGCAAGCGUUAAUCGGAAUUACUGGGCGUAAAGCGUGCGUAGACGGUUAUGUAAGUUAGGUGUGAAAGCCCCGGGCUCAACCUGGGAAUUGCAUUUAAGACUGCAUAGCUAGGGUGCGGAAGAGGGAAGCGGAAUUUCCGGUGUAGCGGUGAAAUGCGUAGAUAUCGGGAGGAACACCAGUGGCGAAGGCGACUACCUGGCCUGUUCUUGACGCUGAGGCGCGAAAGCUAGGGGAGCAAACGGG